AAGAAUCCAGACUUUUCAGUCCCAGGGCGGGGCUGCCUUUCCCCCCAUCCCGCUCCCUUUCUUUGGACUAAAGGGUACUGACUCGGGACUCCCUUAUUUUGUCUUCACAGCUCCCUGUUCGGACUUCUUCCCUUCUCAGCGCUGUGCCUGUCUGGCUCUGAGAAAGGGCCAGCGGGCGAACGGGGAGCAAAGGGGAACAGAGACCUUUAAUGAGCUUCUACUAAGUACCGGGAGUUCCGCGGGGCGCUUUGCAGAUCCCGGGGAAGUUCAGAGAAUGAAGUUUUCUUUUGCAAGGACAAAGUAACAGUUUACUUUUUUACACAUGCAGGAAAGCCUUCCUUUCCUGGGGAUGGGACGCCCGUUUCCACUGAAAGUGAAAUCACUGUGAACAACCUGAAAAUUGGAAAGUUGGACCAGCUGUGGGGAGAGAAAGGUCUUCGUGUCCUUUCCCACGUUCACCGUGCCAGUUACACACAAAGCAGAGAUUUUUUUGCUUGAAUCAUUAAAAGCCGGGUGGGUGGGGGGCACC
rnacentral:lncRNA from 1 species